AGCCUUUCCAGACUCUGAAAUCUAGUUGUCUAUUGCUAAGGGGCCUCAUGAUAUUAAAUAAGCUCAAGAGACUGAUUUUAAAAAUCAAAGCCCUGAUUUAUUAAUUUACAAUGAGGGGACCAGGCACUUGAGUCUUCUGGCCAGAACAUUCUCUCCCCGCUGAUACUCCUUUGGGAAGCUACGCUGUAUUCAUUAGCUUGCUCAGUGAGCUUGGUUUCAGAGUAAGAAUUAGACGAGAGGAAUCUCCUAUACUGUGUGACAUUGGUUCACUACUUUUUUUGUACCAAGGCAACUCUGCACUUUGACUAUUCUUUCCAGAAAAACUCAGCUGCCAAUCCAAUGGGAAAGCACUCUGAAACCUUCAGCUUCCAGGAAAUGAAAAAUACAGCAUUUUGGGAUCUCAAUUUAAAAAUGGAUUUAUAAGUCCUCUGUGGGCUCACCUGCAGUAUAAACUUUUGACCUGGUGAUCACCCUCACCUCUAGCAGAGAGUACAUAUGCCUGGCUGGAACACUCAAAGACCAUUUAGGGAAAGAGAUAUGUAACUGAGGUGGAAGCUGGUACCUGUGAAAGUAAAUGCUGACUAUCAUGAGCCCAGAGUUAGGAUCCCAUCUAGGAUCUCACUUUAUAUCCAGUCAUCAUGUACCCUUGGGUUUCUCAUGGCUGUGAUAGUUUCUCAGACUUUUC